UAUUUGAAUCUUCCAAGGACACUAUUUCUUUCUGUAAUUCAUUGGUCGAGCAUGUAGCCUUCUCGCUUUGCAAUAUAUAGGUUUUGCACAUCCUUUACGCAUUGUGAUUAUAAUUAACAAUCCAUCAUUAAGUCGUUGAUGGUUUUAUUGGUUUACAUUUUGUAAGGAAUUGCUGUAAGGGGAAGACUUUGAUGGAACACGAAUAAAAUUGUAUUAUUUGUUCUUUAGCUCUUGGCUCAAUGUUUCUUAUUCAAACUUUACUUGGUUUAAAAAGACCCAAUCUGGGGCAUCGUUGAUCAGAGUUUCAAAAAUAGGAGGUGGAAAAUGGAGCUUGGACACUUGGACCACCUAAGAGAUUAGAUUCGGCAAGUGAAGGUGCACGCUUUCAUGUCCCACAAUAAAUUUUUAUGAGCAAAAAUCUGAUUGUUCAUAAACAUGUCGUUAAUAAAAAAGUUUCUUGUAGUUAUAACCUAAAACUAAUAAUCACCAAGCCAAAAUGGAGGGUCGAAAGUUAAUAGCGUGUCUUUUACACUAAAACGCUUGAGCGCUCGUGCAAUACUUGCAUAUGCAUUUAGCUAUUUAACUUCAAAUAAGUUUUCUGAUGAAAUUACAUACAACGGAAAAUGGUCAAAUAUAAAAAUAUAUUUAUUUUUUUUAAAUGAAGGACACAUUCGUUUUUUCAACCAAUUCAAACAAGUAUUUUAUAUCCAAAAUUGAACAGUCGGCUCAUUUUAAAGAUAAUAUGGAUUUUAAAUUAAUUCACCUUUCAAAAGUAUAUGUAAAUACAAUAUACACAUUAUACAUUCUGGAAAGCAAAUAUUUACGCACCCUGUUUAUAACAACAGUUUAGGGUGGGUGUGCCCCCAUACUGGCGAAUCUCCGAGUUGUACCUGGAAAUGUGAAUAUUUCACAUUUUUGCAGACGCGGUAAUAAUAAUAAAAAAAUAAUAAUAAUAACAAAAAUACUACAAUAAACGCGUGGAAUUAUAACAAUCGUCAGUGAGGGUAUUAAAUUAACAUCUAUCUAAAAUGUAUGUUUUAUUUUUAAAAUACGUUUUAAAAGCGAAAUGUAGAUGUGCAGAUAAUCUACAUUGAGUGUUACAUUUGACUGUAAUACCAGCAUUUACUUGCGUAUGUGUGCAUUAGUCUCAAGUCGAAAGAAUAUUUCGAGCAUUUCACCAAGGCUACUUUUUCUUAUUGUAGUUAAUAAAUGCAAUAAGAGAUUAUAACGUCAAUUGAGGUCUCUGGCCUCACCGAUAGUUUUUUCCCCUGAAGAGUAGAUGUUUUCACUGUAACACCAGGGUAGUAUAAAAAGGAAUAUUUCCUUUCAUCAGGAGCACAUUUGGAGAGUCAUUGUAGUCGCUGUAAAGAUGAAAGAUUUCUAUCGUAAACAUUACUGAAAAACGUAGGUACUGGGUGUGUUUGUAUGCAUUUGCCUUGACCAACAUUGUGCACAUAUUGCUCCAGAAAGCAUUCUAGAAAGCAAGCUAUGGCUUUGCUAAAGGUUUCUUAAAUUGUAUUAAUUAUAACCACCCCUUUCUGUUAGUUCAUGCAGGUUUAAAACAUUGUGUAUAUUAUUAUGUACGUGUUUACUGUCAUUAGUUUUUAAUUCAAUUUAAAAAUCAAGUGCAAAUAUUUAAGCAGGUAUUUUUUCAAUGUUUAUACUCAAAUAAAUUAUUAUUAAAAGUUGGUCUUUUAAUGUAAAUAAAAGAAAAAAAAAAUAUGAAGAAAAUGUCUGUUGCUAUUCUUGUAUGAUUCAAAUCAAUUAUAAAAAUGGAAUUAAAUAUUACAAUUACAAUCAAUUUCACGGUGCUAAUCUCAGUUGGCUAUUUUUCAAAUUGGUGUAUGUCGAAUAUUUACUUUGAUUGUUUGAUUGCUUGUGAAAAACACAUCAGUAACAUUUUGACCCUGUCAGAGUUUCAGUUUAAGGCCCUGAAGCGGGAAAUAUAGUUAUACCUGGGCACAAUGUUUACUGUUUUCUUUUAGUUUUUUUCCCUGUAAAACGAGUCUGCAAUGUAAAUGAUAUUGUCUAAAGUAUAUAUAAAACGUCAUAUAUAUUAACUGGUUUAUAAAUUAACUGGUCUGUUUUUUUAAAUAAGAAAUUCUUGAGAUAAAACUUUGGACAAACCAUAUAAUAUUUUUUGUCUCAUUUUAAAUGAUCAUGUUAACAGUUUAAAAAUAUAAAUGGAAAUGUGAAAAGAGAAGAGAUGAAUAUAUUCCCCUCACAUAUAGGUUUAGCUAACUAUAGGCUGUCAGUAAAAUCAAUAACUUUUCUCCAAACAUUUACCUGAUAUCAUCUUGUCUAUAAGUGAAAUCAUUCACAUGGUCUAAACAGUGAAAUAAUCAACAUGAUACACAUGCUGAUUUAACAUGCAUCGUAUAAAAAUAGACGAUUGUUCUAUUUCAUGGUAGCAUUACACAGUAACUGGUUGUAGCAUUCUGCCUAGCUUCUAUAAUCUAAUCAGAAGAACACAUUAAAAAUCCCCUACCCCAAAAACCUACUUCCAUGCUCUACCAUUACAAGUGUGUAAUAUUAGCUUCAUUAUAUGGAAGGGCAUCAUGUCAAGUAAGUAGAAAAAAGACUGUGCAUAUUACUAGAAUAUUAUUUGGCACAUACUAUAUGCUAAUAAUCUGAGAGUUCAUCAGACACGCAUCUCCCUAUGUAUGAUGCUGAACAUGGUCAAAAUAACAUUAGCAUUGAUCACAGAAAAAAAAUAUCAACGUGUGGAAUAGGCAUAUUGGUUUGAUUUUAUUUGCAGUGAGACAAAAUAGACUCCUGUGCAACAUUCCUGAGAAAGUAUGCAGAUUUUUAUGAUCAACUUAGAAAGAUAUUUUUCAACAAAAAAGAAAGGAAAAUUACAACCCUAACUAAAAUACAAAUGCUCUAUUAAUAAACUAUAUAUUACAGACAUUCCCAAUGCUGAUUAAAUGAAUAAAUGAAUAAUUGUUAAGUCUUUAUUUUGAAUAUUUUGAUAUUUUGGUUAUGUGUUGGUCUAGUCUGCUAUAUUUAAUGUAACGUAAACUAUUUUCCUUAAUCUUUGAUGGUAAUCCUACGAUGCAAUUCACAUUUACACAAAAACACCAAAUUCACAUUAGUAAACUGGUUUUAAUAUUUAUUUAAGAAAAGCUUUUUUUAGUUUUAAGAUUUAUUUAUUUAUUACCUAAGUUAUCUAUUAGUUAACUGUAUCCUGGAUCUUUGCUGGAGUGGGUAAAUUAUAUCUGAUGUACCAUACUAUAUUUUCAUGUUUCAUUAAGUCAGGCUACUGUAUUAAUUAUUAGCACACUAGUGAAUUUUUAUACAAAAAAAAAAAAAAUAACGUAUGAGGUUUUGCACUGAUUUUUUACAAGCACUUAUAAGUUUGGCUGUAGGAUAUUGGAAGGAAAUUGCCACUAUAUCCAUGUAUUCUAGGCAGUAAUGUCCUGUGGGGGUAAUUUUGUAUGCUGUAAACUCUUUGUUGGUGACGCAUUCCAAAGGACUUCCCCAUUCACCCAACUGAAUGAAAAUGACUUUGGAUUCCAGACUGUCUCCUCCCGGCGCAAAACAGCUGAAGUCAGAGGAGGGGGGUUAACAAAACAAGCAAAGAUGGCGAAACCCAUAUCGACAUUCCCGAGGUUGAAAACAAGCCAGUUCGUAUCCUAACACACUCAGAAAUCUUUCAAAAAAAUGGUGCAUUGUAUUUGUACAAUAUUUGUAUGGUAAAUAUUUGGCUUGAAAUUUGUCUUGUUAUUCAUGCUCCGAUUUUUUUAAUAACAAGGCCUAUCGCGUUUUAUAUAUCAAAUCAAUCAUUUAUUUAUUUUCAAUUACAAGUCUUUAUGAUUAGCGUGAGUUUUAAAUGGAUAACUUAUAUGGUUAUAUCUUCAGUGAGUUACAUAGAAGCUUAACGCGCGUUAUAAGCGUGUGAACACGAAAGACCAGUCUACUAACCAUUUAUGUAUUCAUGCUAUAUUUGCCUUCAUUUUAUAACAAGAUAGACAAUUGAAAAUGUUACGUAUAAGUGAAAAAUGUCAACAAAAUACUCAAACGGACAAAAUACUCAAAUUACAUAUAGAACAGUGCCAAUUAUUUUUUUUUCCCAAACCAACGCUUAAGUGCAGAUUAUUUAUUCAAUUAUUAUUAUAUUGUGAAAUCCCAGCGCUCGAAUAUAUAUGGACUGUCUAAUGUCCUGAUUUUAUACAGUUUGAAAUUGGACCGUGAUCCAAAAUCGUUUUGCUAAUACGCACAUUUUAGUAAAUAUUCAAAUGCCUAACGUGAUACACGUAAAAAAAAAAAAAGCUAGAGGAUUAGAAUACAUGUAUCAAACGAUUAGAAUAAUUCCAGAGAACUUCUUGAAUUGUCUAUUUAUUCUAAACGUUAAACAAAUGUUUAGUGUCAACGUACAGAAUGGAACCUCAUUUAGACAUUGUAUGUAAAAAAAAUAUUCAAAUUACAAGAACAUGUAGCGUUGUCGUUCAUACACAAUUUCUCUCUCUCUCUCUCUCUCUCUCUCUCUCUCUCUCUCUCUCUCUCACACACACACACACACACACACACACACACACACAUGCAAAGUCAACUUGCAAAAAUAUUUAUCAAUCCAUAUAUUGUAUGCUGUAACAGGCAACAGGCAUAAAUCCAUCAAACUUUCAAACUUAAGAGUCUCUUAUAAUUAUUAAUCAAUAUAUCAAUCAAUCAAAUCUAUUUAUCUAUCUAUCUAUCUAUCUAUCUAUCUAUCUAUCUAUCUAUCUAUCUAUCUAUCUAUCUAUCUAUACAUGUAUCUGUCUAGCCGUCCAACUUUUUUUUUUUUGCUCUUCUUAAGGGGUCCAAUAUUUUUUUUCUGAAUGCCAACGUGAAUGCCACUAUAAACACUUCGCAUCGAUGGCAAUCCGAACCCAAAACUUGUAAUCAAAAGCUUCACAUUUCGGUUCGGUCGAGGCUCAAACCGCGUGAUGUUUAUAACCCCCUUUCCCCUCUGACAGACUCAAAAAAAACCUUUUACAGCCCAGCACUUAAAACGCAAGCAAAGAGAAAAGAAGCCCACCAUGGCUAUACGCGUUUAGUUCAUUUACAAUGCCAUUUGCGAAGACUUCACUGCACAGGGUGUAAUUUAACGGCAAUUGUCGCCCUUGAUGAAGCCAAACUGACGUAAUCAAGGCAGUUUCUUGUUGUCGAGCCAGGAAGCUCAAUCCCAACAACAUGAAACUACCUAAACCACGCACCAGCUGCGCGUGACGACCGUAUUCACAGAAGUGGACAAAAUAACAUUUCGCAAUGCUCGGUUCAUAUACUUUGAGAAGAAGCCUGGUUUCAAUCUUUGUUUGAGGAAUCAUCUUCGACAUCCGGGUGUUUGCAAUGGAAACCACUCAUCCCUAGUAUGGCAUAACACACUUCUGUGUGUGUGUGUGUGUGUGUGUGUGUGUGUGUGUGUGUGUGUGUGUGUGUGUGUGUGUGAAUUAUGAAUGAAUGAAUAAAUAAAUAAGUCACCUGAGGGUGCAUUAUAUUUUAUUAUAAAAUUAAUAUCUAUGAAUGUAAAAUUGGAAUAAACAAAACUGUUUUUUUUUUAAUAAUUAUUUUAAUCGGUUAUUAGCGCAAGAUAGUUUAUCUAGUUGAGAUCAGGUCUACUGUUUGUCUAACUAAUGUCAUUCUUCUUGCAUAUAUUAUUGUGUAUUAUAUUUGAGUGAAAUAGUGGGAAAAUGUACUUUUGCCAGAGCUUAUAAACAUUGGACAAAUAAUUUUUGAAAGUAAAAUCUUUGUAUUUAUUUAAUGUAUCCAUAAAUAUAUCUUAGAGUAUGUUUUAUUUAAUAUGCUUAUUUGUAAUACUACGUUUAAAUACAUAUUUUACAUGAACAAAUACAUGCAUUGUAAAAUCUGUCUUUUUGCAUAUUUCAAAAUUAUUAUUUAAAAAAGUUUAAAUCAUUAAUUUUUUUUUUUGUAAUAUUAUCUUGAAUACAUAACUUUUUGCACUUGGGCUAUUUGCUACAAUAAAGCGUGUAUUGUUCAGGGUUGUUUUUAUAUUGAAUAUUUUACACGAGAAUUGUUUAAUUGUGAUAAAUGGUCUCUGUCAAGAAGUUUUCUUUACAAAAUCAGAGCGUCGGGCUGUCGCAUUGUGAAUGAAUUGUAAUUCUCAUUUCUCUCACAACAGUUUUUGAAAUUGUUUUCAGCUGUAUUUUACAAUACUCAAAUGUAAAAAAGAAUGUCUGUAAAAAAUCGGAUUAGCUUCUUUUUAGUUUAGGUAUUAGGAGUUAGGCUUCAUUAAUUGUUUUUUACAUUGCAGAAUAAUAUUUUUUAAAUAUAAUUUAUGGUUUAGUCUGUGUUUAUGUUAUAAGUUUAAUCGGUACCAGUGUGAAAUUUAUGUUUAACCUUUUUCAUAAACUUUGUGUAUUAUAAUUAAACCAAUACCAUUGUUUUGUCUAAAAUCUAAAUAAAAAAGCAAUUG